rnacentral:rRNA from 1 species
GACGAACGCUGGCGGCGUGCCUAAUACAUGCAAGUAGAACGCUGAAGGAGGAGCUUGCUUCUCUGGAUGAGUUGCGAACGGGUGAGUAACGCGUAGGCAACCUGCCUGGUAGCGGGGGAUAACUAUUGGAAACGAUAGCUAAUACCGCAUAAUAGCAGUUGUUGCAUGAUAACUGUUUGAAAGGUGCAAUUGCACCACUACCAGAUGGACCUGCGUUGUAUUAGCUAGUUGGUGGGGUAACGGCUCACCAAGGCGACGAUACAUAGCCGACCUGAGAGGGUGAUCGGCCACACUGGGACUGAGACACGGCCCAGACUCCUACGGGAGGCAGCAGUAGGGAAUCUUCGGCAAUGGACGGAAGUCUGACCGAGCAACGCCGCGUGAGUGAAGAAGGUUUUCGGAUCGUAAAGCUCUGUUGUAAGAGAAGAACGAGUGUGAGAGUGGAAAGUUCACACUGUGACGGUAUCUUACCAGAAAGGGACGGCUAACUACGUG